rfam:Ktedonobacter racemifer DSM 44963 strain SOSP1-21 Krac_Contig206, whole genome shotgun sequence.
GCGAGCCGUGUGCAUGGAAAUCGUGCCCGCACGGUUCUGAGGGAGACCGUUGGAAAAGGACGCUAUUCGAUUGUUAAUGUGCAACGGAUAGAGUACCUCGCUGGCGGUCUACCCUAC